GGUGGAAGCACAGUGGGAAUCAAAUAUAAGAUGACAGUUUUUGUUUGAAAAAUGUGAGGUUCAAGAAAUCUGUGAUACUGGAAUGCUGCUGAGUAUAGAUUUAGUUAAGUUUAGAAUUCAGGAAGAAUUCAGUUUUGAAACCAUAGUUCUGAAAGCUGUAGGAAAAUAGUUCUGAAAACCUGGAACUAUGGUCAUGGAAAUAGGAUUGCACAAUGAAAUCAUAAAACGGUGAGAAACAUCUAAGGUGAGAACUCUAAGGGAAUAUCAUAUUUAAAGGGUGGGAAAUGGAGGCCAGCAAAGGAAUACCAGGAAGGAGAAUCAGAACAGAAGUUCAACACUAAAGACAGAGAUUCACAAACUUUUCUGCCCA
rnacentral:lncRNA from 1 species